GACGAACGCUGGCGGCGUGCCUAAUACAUGCAAGUAGAACGCUGAAGGAGGAGCUUGCUUCUCUGGAUGAGUUGCGAACGGGUGAGUAACGCGUAGGUAACCUGCCUGGUAGCGGGGGAUAACUAUUGGAAACGAUAGCUAAUACCGCAUAAGAGUAGAUGUUGCAUGACAUUUGCUUAAAAGGUGCAAUUGCAUCACUACCAGAUGGACCUGCGUUGUAUUAGCUAGUUGGUGAGGUAACGGCUCACCAAGGCAACGAUACAUAGCCGACCUGAGAGGGUGAUCGGCCACACUGGGACUGGGACACGGCCCAGACUCCUACGGGAGGCAGCAGUAGGGAAUCUUCGGCAAUGGACGGAAGUCUGACCGAGCAACGCCGCGUGAGUGAAGAAGGUUUUCGGAUCGUAAAGCUCUGUUGUAAGAGAAGAACGAGUGUGAGAGUGGAAAGUUCACACUGUGACGGUAUCUUACCAGAAAGGGACGGCUAACUACGUG
rnacentral:rRNA from 1 species